rnacentral:misc_RNA from 1 species
GAUAAAGAACGCAGCGAAAUGCGAUAAGUAAUGUGAAUUGCAGAAUUCAGUGAAUCAUCGAAUCUUUGAACGCACAUUGCGCCCGCCAGCAUUCUGGCGGGCAUGCCUGUUCGAGCGUCAUUUCAACCCUCAAGCUCUGCUUGGUGUUGGGGCCCUACGGUUGACGUAGGCCCUUAAAGGUAGUGGCGGACCCUCUCGGAGCCUCCUUUGCGUAGUAACUAACGUCUCGCAUUGGGAUUCGGAGGGACUCUUGCCGUAAAACCCCCAAAUUUUCUAAUGGUUGACCUCGGAUCAGGUAGGAAUACCCGCUGAACUUAAGCAUAUCAAUAAGCGGAGGA